CAGGCAAAGAAUUAAUAAGAGAUAAUAUUAUCAUUGGUGAAAUGUUAUGUAUGGCUACAUCCUUUCGAUGAGCAUUUAUAGUUCCUUUAAAAUAUGCCUACUGAAGAAAUAUUUACAUGCUAAUUAACAUGUGCAUAGUACCACUAGGUAUUAUAGAGGAUACCAGAUGUUUGUAGUAGACACAGACCUUGCCCUAAGUCCUGGUCUUGAUGUAGUCACAUUUUAGUCAAGUGACCUUCCUUCAAUGGGAAAAUAAAGGACUUUACAAAAGACGUAGAAGACAAUUCUUAAUAUAAAAGUGAUCUAGAUCUUCACAAGUUUGUGAAGAGAAGCAGAUGAGUGAAAUAGAACACUAUCAAUGUAAAAUAUUCUGAGGCCUCUGUAAUGACUAGGAAGCAACAAGAGGGAGGUCAUUUCAGAGAGAGAGGCUCUAGGUUCCAAGCUGGAUUCUCAGGUCAGUGACUGCAGGUCCCCUCCACACCCAUCACCCCACACCCUAAAACCCUCUUCAGUUGCUCACAAAGGUAGAUAAAUACCCACAUUUUUGCCCUCUUCCAUCUUGAAACCCUGGAAACCCUUGCUUCCGCCAGGGAAGUUUACUUAGUAUCUGUCACUCCAAGGGAACCAACGUUCAAGCCAAAGAAUAAGAGUCAAUAUUCCUACCAGAGGUUUACAUUUUUCCCAGGGGUCUAGGUGGAUAUCCCUGGGAACCCCCGUCAACACAGGCAUCUACAGUACAAUCCAGGCCUCCUGUGUUCAGUAGAGGCUGCAAGAGCACUGCAGCCUUUUCCCCAGAGGUGCUAGUUGGGCCCAGUAAAGAUUGCUCCUGAGAAAACACAUAGGUAAUAGAGCAAAGUUCCUAUGUUCUGGUAACAUUUAAUUGUGUUACUUCGCAACCUCCUCUGCACCCACACACUCACAUACGUUUAUUCCACCAACUUCAAAGGAAGGUCAACACGUUAAAAAUAUGUGUGGGAACAAAGAAGGGAGUUUGAAAUUGGUCUAAACCCUCUCUCUGUAUAACUGGGUUUGACACGUACAUUAGGAUUUUACAAGUAUGUAUUUAAUCUUUUUUUAAAAAAAGUGUUUACGUAGGGUUUAGAAUAAUGACAAUAAAUCAACAUUUCUAUUGUCCAUUUGUGUGUUUUCAUAGUAAAUAAUGGUCAUUUAUCCUUAACCAGUAAUACAUAUUUAUGGGUUUAAAUUAGCAAAAGCCUCUCAAAAAGUAGCUCCACUCAUUUAUCCACCGGUGUCCAGAUGCCAUCCAGCACAUGAGGAGCUCCCAGAAAGGAGCAGGGAACAAACUAGGGCUGUCAGGAGUGGAGGAGAAAGAAUGGCAUAUGCAAAAAGGAGCUGUAAUGAAAUCCAAGGGAACAUGGCACACUCUAGUCUUUUGCACAAGACAAAGGGCAAUCCUGGUAAAAAUACAGAUCCCCAGGCCCCAUCCCAGAGAGUCUGAUCUGAUUCUGAAAUGGGGCCAAAGAAUCAGGAUUUUAACAAGCACCUUCACCAGGUGAUCCUUUUGCUGAGAACCCCUGAGAAAUGAGAACCCUGUGCUAGUGCUGAAUGGAGCAUUAUUUUCCAGAGAUGAAGUUUGGUGAUCAGUUUUCCAGAUGGAGCUGGCCCUUGGUCUUUGGUACAUACCUGGGUAUAAAUCCAAGCCACUUCAGAUAUAUGGGCUGAUAUUUCGACCCAAACACUAUCUAUAGCCUAAAUUUUUUCUAAUAUUCUGUUUGUUAUGAAUUGUAGAAAGUUGUAAAUGCUGUAUUUCCUUCUCAUCUAUUUCUGGACUUUGUCACACGACCAAAUUCAAGGGCAUCUGAUAGACAUUUAUUGCACACAUUUUUCUGUAAACAUGAAAACUGAAUUGUCUAAUAGAAAAGGGCAAGGAAGUAGAAAAUAAGAAAUCAUCAUCAAAAGUGGUUUGUUUUGGAAUUAUAUUAAUUGUCUAGCUGCAUAACAAAUCACCCCCAAAAUUGAGUCGCUUAGAACAACAAACAUUGAUCCUCCACAGUUUCUGUGUGUUAGGAAUCAAAGUGAUUUAAUGUAAUGAUUCUGCUCAGGGUCUCUCAGGGGCUGCAAUCCAGGUCUCGGGCUGGGGUCCUUUCAAGGCUGAGCUGGGGAAAGAUCCAUGUCUAAGCUCACUCACAUGGCCGAUGGCGGGAUUCAGUUCCUCUUUGGCUGUCAGACUGAGGGCCUCCAUGUCUCCAUGGUUGUUAGCCAGAGCCCUCUCUCAGUUCCUUUCCACAUGGGCCUCUCCACAGGGCAACUCACAACAUGGCAGCUGGUUUCCAGUAGAGCAAGCAAGUGAGAGAACAAGAAAGGCAAGCAAGGUGAAUGUCCCAGUCUUUUGUAACCUCAUCUCAGAAGUGUUACCCCAUCACUUUUGCCAUGUUUUAUUAUUUAGAAGCAAAUCACUAAGUCCAGCCCACACUUAGAGGGAUGGCAUUACACAAGGGAAUGAACACCAGCAGAUAGGGUCAUUGAAAGCCAUCUUAGAUGCUGUCUAUCGCAUCUAAGUGUGAGUUUUCUAGAUGAAAAGAAUAUAUUAAUUUGUUUCAGUCUUAGUUGAUGUACCAUCCCAUUUGUGCUUCGCUAAAACUUGUAUCAAUGUAAAGCAAACAUUUUCUGAUACAAUUUAGGUAGUGUACUGUGGUAAUAGAGUCCAGUAGUGUUGGAAAGAUAUGUUGAGGUCAGAAAUUAAGCUCAUGUUUCUAAAAGAGGAAAUGUACGACUACUAUGCAAGCCAACAGGAAAGAGUGUUUUAAGAAUGCUUUCUGCUACAGGUGACUAAAAACCUAAACAGCUGUGGCUUAAAAAUAAAGGUAUAUCUAUGUCACAUAAGUAAAAGUCUAGGGGUGGGCAGCUGUUGGCAUUGCUUCAGUAGCUUGAUAAUGGCAAAAGCAGCAUCUCUUCUAUUUCCUUGGCCUUCUAGUCAUGCAUGUCACCUCACAAUCACAACACAGGCAACACCUCAUAUUCUAAGCAAGAUGAAAAGGGCAAAGAAUUAUGCCAUAUGCCUCUGUCUCUUUUCAAAAGGAAGAGAAAGCUUCCCUGGAAGUCUCCUCUAGCAGAUUUCACUCAGAUCUCAUUGGCCAGAACUGAGUCACAUGCCUGCCUUAAACCAAUCACUCACCAAGAAAACUAACAUUAUCAUGGCAAGUCUAAACUAACUGUGACUCAUCUCUGAAAUCAAAAGAUUAUUACCAUUACCCGAAUCCAUCAGGAUCCUGUUGGCAGAGAAGUGGGACUGUAAAUUUUGAGCAGGCAACAAACAAGUCUUCUGUAAACUUCUUACGUGUUGUUUUUUAUGUGUUCUAUAUAUCCAGUACAAUCACAAUUUCCAAUAACAGUCUAAAAAGGUAUUUUCCAAUAGAAACAGAAUGUGUAAGAUCAUUACUUACGAAAUCCCAAAUGUACUUAAGGUUUCCUUCUUGAAAAUUCCUUAUUCAAAAUAAAAUGUCCAGAUUUUGAAACCCAGAAAAGAUUCUAUAUUUUAAAAAUCCUGUGCACAUGUAAACUGUUUUUCAAAUAUUGCCUUCAGAUACAUUGAACAGAAUGAAAUCUUCUGAGAUUUACUACAUCAGCCAAGUAUUAUCAAAACAAACAGGACAGAUUGCUUUUCUUGACGUCUGCUGCUUGAUUUGUGUUAACUCAUGUUUCUGAAAUUGUAGUAUCAUAAGCCAAUGCUGCACAAAGGUAUUUAAUGUCAUUUAUAAAAAUCUAGUAAUGUAAACUGUUAACUCCUUAUAAAGCAUCUGUUGACACACAAAAAUAUCACUGAAGUGUAUUUAUGCUUUUCUUCUUUAGGUCUGCAUAAUAAUUCUCUCCAGAAGGCCAAGUUGUUGCAUAAAUUACAGAACAGAAAGUUGGUUGUGGGAGGGGUAGCUCAACCUCAUCUGAGGCAUCCCACUCUAAGAAACUAAUGGCACCUACACCUCUUGGGCAUUGAGUUUUUAAGCCAAUUUUUAAUUCUUGUUCUGCUCAAAUUCUAAGUGAGCACAUAAAGUGCUGCUCCAAGCAAGACCAGCCCUUGUAGAAGGGCAAGUGGAGUCAGUCCCCUAGGAAACGGGACUGGGGAGUGAUCGUUUCAAUGAGAGAUAAAUCAAACUGAUGCUAAAUGUGAACAAUGAGCCCAUUAGAGAUUGUGAGAAAGAGGCACCAUCAUCCACUCAACAAUAGACCUGUGGGACCUCUUGAUAGCCUGAGGAUGUUUAAUUUCAGGUGCAGGUAUCCAGAAUGUAGCAGCUAGACUGAUCAAGGAUGUGUGAUGAUAGCAAGCAGUAGUGGAAGAGCCCAGGAGAGUUCCUAAGCCUGAAUUGCAAUCCUGUGCUGCCAUAAAAUGGGAAGAUAUACUUGUUCCAGUCAUCUGACAGCUUUGGUCAUCAAUUUCUCUAUCUCAUAUGUGACUCUGUUGCUUUAAGAAUCACUUUAGCUUUAAAUAUCUAUGAAUCUGCUGAAGCAGCUGUGCUUUGAUUGAUGUGGAACUCUGAACUCCCUUAAAUACAAAGACCAAUUAUUUAGCCGAGCUUUGUUGGAUUCAGUGCAUGAAUCUGAAUACAUGUCAAAAUAUACUUGGAUUUGUAAAAAAUAUUCCUUCCUGGUUUUUUCACCGUAGAUAGAUGUACAAAAAUGUCCGUGUUCACACUGUGGAAAGGACAUUUCUCGUAAACUCACACAGAGAUACCUUUCAAGUCAAUGCCUUAGAAGCAAUGAGAGAUUUAAAGGAGACCUAGAGAUAUGAAAGGAGAAGGCAGAGAAGGUACGUGAGGAGGAUGAUGUAACUUCCUAGGGAAAAAGUAUGAAGCAUAAGGCUGGACAUAGACCUGGGAAUCAGGAAAUUAAAGUUCUAAUUGCAGCUUUUCCAUUGGUUCACUUGAGAUCUUGAGAAUGUCUGUCUCAUUUUAAUCAUUCUGGGCCUCAGUUUCUAUAUCUGUCAAUUAGAGUGAGAGUCCCUGGCUGGGUGCCCAGGAUUGUGAGAACAUACCAUUCACAGCCAUAAAAAUACAAUCAGUACCAAUAAUGUACUAGAUGUCCUAACUUAAAGUGGAAACAUUAACCAGAGUAAUUCUUUGAAUGAUCAAACUGGGAAUAUUUUAGGAAGCAUAUCUAUCUGGGUGAAAAUUAAGCAAAUAAGACAAUUGUAAAGGCUUGUGGUCUCAGGAAUACAAAGGCAAAAAUGCCCAGACUUGAAAUAUGACAAGUUCUAGUUUUGUCACUUAGCAUCUCUGUGACUUUGGAUAAUUUCUUAACCCCCGGGAGUAUUCUCAUCUGUAAAAUGGGAAUAAUGACAUGCACUUCAGUGGGUUGUGGUGAAGAUUAUUACAAAUGGAAAUUAGCUCUUUUGAGCCACUUGUGGGGUUUAAAUUCCCAGCCCUUAUGUGCUUUGCAGCUGUUAGUUCCUCUUAUUACAAUUGUCUAUUUAAAAACCUAGUCACAGCCUGGUGCAGUAGCUCACGUCUGUAAUCCCAACACUUUGGGAGGCCAAGGCAGGAGAAUUGCUUGAGCUCAGGCGUUCGAGAUCAGCCUAGGCAACAUAGUGAGAACCUCUCAUCUCUACAAAAAGCAAAAAAUUAGCCAGUGAUGCAUGGCUGUAGUCCCAGCUAUUCUGAGAGCUGAAGUUGGAGGAUUGCUUGAGCCCAGGAGGUAAAGGCUGCAGUGGGCAGUGAUCAUGCCGCUGCACUCUAGCCUGGUUGACAGAGCAAGAGUCAUCUUUUUCCAAAAAAAGAAAGUUUCUUUUUCCAAAAAAAGAAAGAAAGGGAGGAAGGAAGGAAGGAAGGAAGGAAGGAAGGAAGGAAGGAAAGAAAGAAGGAGAAAGAAAGAAAGAAAGAAAAGAAAGAAAGAAAGAAAGAAAGAAGGAAA